rnacentral:rRNA from 1 species
UGGGUGAUCUGCCCUGCACUUCGGGAUAAGCCUGGGAAACUGGGUCUAAUACCGGAUAUACCUCAUUGAUCUCCUGGUUGGUGGGGAAAGCUUUUGCGGUGUGGGAUGGGCCCGCGGCCUAUCAGCUUGUUGGUGAGGUUACGGCUCACCAAGGCGACGACGGGUAGCUGGUCUGAGAGGAUGGCCAGCCACAUUGGGACUGAGACACGGCCCAGACUCCGUACGGGAGGNAG